rnacentral:snoRNA from 1 species
AGGCAGGAUCUCAUCUCCUUACAACAGAGCUGUGAAGUGCUUUGUUGUUUUUGUCCUGCUCAAAAUAAACUUGUUACCUUCCAGGCCCUGCCUGCCAUGUGCCUGGCAGCAGGCAGGGAUGCUUGGUUGCAGACAC